GCCUGGGUGGCUCAGUUGGUUCAGCAUCUGACUGUGACUUAGAGGGUCAUGAUCUCCUGGUUUGUGGGUUUGAGCCCCACAUUGGGCC
rnacentral:tRNA from 1 species